AGCUCUCCGAGUGGUGUGGAUGUUUAUUGGGCCUAAAGCAUCCGUAGCUGGCCAAGUCAGUCCCUUGUUAAACCCACCGAAUUAAUCGUUGGAUUGCGGGGGAUACUACUCGGCUAGGGGACGAGAGAGGCAGACGGUAUUCUCGGGGUAGGGGUGAAAUCCUAUAAUCCCGAGAAGACCACCAGUGGCGAAGGCUGUCUGCUAGAACGCGCCCGACGGUGAGGGAUGAAAGCUGGGGGAGCGAACC
rnacentral:rRNA from 1 species